GAACAGGCACAUUAGGUGAUUUAACAUUUUAUUCAGCUGUCCGGGAGGCGCGGUGAGGACUAAGGAAGGCACGUUGUCGCUCGAGGACAUUUUCCGAUGACCAAGGUGUUCCGAUGAAGCGCAGGAACGUCGAGAGAGCACCUCCAUGUAGCUGCCCGACAGCGUUUAAGUAGCGCCACAGGUCCGUCUUUGCUAUGGGCAGGUAACAGCCAAACUGGUCGGCUCAACUGCUGCGGCUCUUUUGUGUUGCAGCGCCCUUGUAAUGCGGCCAUGAACAGAAGCGGACGAGCAGAGCCACUGUGAAGCCACUGCUAGGCUCGUCUUCGGGGCCUCCCCCUUCCACGCCCCUGACAGGUUCCAGGAGACUUCCAGCUUUGGAGGGCCGUCAGGAGUCUGCAGUGAAUAUGAUCGGUAGAAACAUCACGUGACGGAAAGUAGAUAAGGUGCGGUGUCCUUGUGAGUGCAGGCCUGCCAGAGAGCCCCUUGUAGCUGCCCGACGGCGCUUAAAAUGCGCCACAGGUCCGUCUUUGCUAUGGGCAGGUAACAGCCAAACUGGUCGGCUCAACUGCUGCGGCUCUUUUGUGUUGCAGCGCCCUUGGAAUGCUGCCAUGAACAGAAGCGGACGAGCAGAGCCACUGUGAAGCCACUGCUAGGCUCGUCUUCGGGGCCUCCCCCUUCCACGCCCCUGACAGGUUCCAGGAGACUUCCAGCUUUGGAGGGCCGUCAGGAGUCUGCAGUGAAUAUGAUCGGUAGAAACAUCACGUGACGGAAAGUAGAUAAGGUGCGGUGUCCUUGUGAAUGCAGGCCUGCCAGAGAGCCCCUUGUAGCUGCCCGACGGCGCUUAAAAUGCGCCACAGGUCCGUCUUUGCUAUGGGCAGGUAACAGCCAAACUGGUCGGCUCAACUGCUGCGGCUCUUUUGUGUUGCAGCGCCCUUGGAAUGCGGCCAUGAACAGAAGCGGACGAGCAGAGCCAUUGUGAAGCCACUGCUAGGCUCGUCUUCGGGGCCUCCCCCUUCCACGCCCCUGACAGGUUCCAGGAGACUUCCAGCUUUGGAGGGCCGUCAGGAGUCUGCAGUGAAUAUGAUCGGUAGAAACAUCACGUGACGGAAAGUAGAUAAGGUGCGGUGUCCUUGUGAGUGCAGGCCUGCCAGAGAGCCCCUUGUAGCUGCCCGACGGCGCUUAAAAUGCGCCACAGGUCCGUCUUUGCUAUGGGCAGGUAACAGCCAAACUGGUCGGCUCAACUGCUGCGGCUCUUUUGUGUUGCAGCGCCCUUGGAAUGCGGCCAUGAACAGAAGCGGACGAGCAGAGCCAUUGUGAAGCCACUGCUAGGCUCGUCUUCGGGGCCUCCCCCUUCCACGCCCCUGACAGGUUCCAGGAGACUUCCAGCUUUGGAGGGCCGUCAGGAGUCUGCAGUGAAUAUGAUCGGUAGAAACAUCACGUGACGGAAAGUAGAUAAGGUGCGGUGUCCUUGUGAGUGCAGGCCUGCCAGAGAGCCCCUUGUAGCUGCCCGACGGCGCUUAAAAUGCGCCACAGGUCCGUCUUUGCUAUGGGCAGGUAACAGCCAAACUGGUCGGCUCAACUGCUGCGGCUCUUUUGUGUUGCAGCGCCCUUGGAAUGCGGCCAUGAACAGAAGCGGACGAGCAGAGCCAUUGUGAAGCCACUGCUAGGCUCGUCUUCGGGGCCUCCCCCUUCCACGCCCCUGACAGGUUCCUGGAGACUUCCAGCUGUAAGGGGCCGUCAGGACUGACUUGCUCUUCGGGGCUUUUUCUACGCUCCUGACAGGUUCCAGCAGACUUCCAGCUGGAGGGCCGUCAGGAGUCUGCAGUGAAUAUGAUCGGUAGAAACAUCACGUGACGGAAAAUAGAUAAGGUGCGGUGUCCCAGUGAGUGCAGGCCUGCCGGAGAGCCCCUUGUAGCCGCCCGACGGCUUUUAAGCUGCGCCACAGGUCCGUCUUUGCUAUGGGCAGGUAACAGCCAAACUAGUCGGCUCAACUGUCUUCGGGGCCUCCCCUUCCCGAGAGGUUCUAUUAGACUCCAGCUAUAGUGGAGCGACAUGACGGUGAUUGCAAUGAACAUCUCGAAAAAUUGAUGGUGUGUGGUAGAACACGGAUUGCCGGGCCCUUUAACGCCCCUAACACGUUCCAGGAGACGUCACAGUGUCCAGGACUGUCAAGCAGGUAGCACACGGCUAGUCCGUUCAGCAGGAUCGUGCUUCAAGCUCGCCUGGGUCAGCGGGUGGUUGGAGGACCAUGGAGAAAUCCUUUUGUGGCUGUGGCCUUUUCUCGUUGCGGUGCCCUUGGAAUUGAUAAGCCAUGUCAGAAGCGGACGGGUGGAGUCCACCUGAAGCCGCUCGUCUUCGGGGCCUCCUCCUCAAUGCUCGGGGCUGGUUCCGCGAGGACUGUUCAUUCUCCAGCAGGCGUCGUCCGGGACAUCGUACGCUGCGCCGAGGCUUGCACGAAGUAUGAAGGGCCGGUUGGCUCGAUCGCGUUUUGGCAUG